rnacentral:rRNA from 1 species
GACGAACGCUGGCGGCGUGCCUAACACAUGCAAGUCGAGCGAAGUGAGUACUACGGUACGAACUUAGCGGCGGACGGGUGAGUAACGCGUGGACAAUCUACCCUGUAGACUGGGAUAACACCUCGAAAGGGGUGCUAAUACCGGAUAAUGUCGAGAAGCGGAAUCGCUUUUCGAAGAAAAGAGAGAAUCCGCUAUAGGAGGAGUCCGGGUCCCAUUAGCUAGUUGGUGAGGGUAACGGCCCACCAAGGCGACGAUGGGUAGCCGGCCUGAGAGGGUGAACGGCCACACUGGAACUGAGACACGGUCCAGACUCCUACGGGAGGCAGCAGUGGGGAAUAUUGUGCAAUGGGGGAAACCCUGACACAGCAACGCCGCGUGAGCGAUGAAGGCCUUCGGGUUGUAAAGCUCAAUAGUAUGGGAAGAUAAUGACGGUACCAUACGAAAGCCCCGGCUAACUACGUGCCAGCCGCCGCCGUAACAC